UUUUAACUCUCAGUGAUGCUGCAGUGUUCGUUUGACUUUGGGACCUGAAGCUGAGUUUGGACCCAGACGUGGCUAAUGACAUCAGACUAAAAGACCGGAUACGUUUCAUCCCAGAGAGUCCCAGAUUUAAGCCCUGUUGGGACUCCUCUCUUUGGGACGUGGAUCAAGAUGCGCCUCAUCACAUGAGCCAUGGUGUGAAAACAGGUAUGGGUCACUAUCAGCAGAGGUUUCAGGCGAACCCAUCGUGACGGCUUGCCUCACCCUAUCAUGUGACCUAUUGAGGUCAGCUGACACAAGAUGUGAGGAGCGGUCGAGGCACCUGGGAAGGAUUACAGAUGGCAGACAGUUGGUGUCAUAAGCCCCGCCCUCUGCCCAGUCACUAGAGUACCAUGACCUGGACGACCGACAACUUAACGUCGUUGAUUCAAAGCGUUUGUUUUAUUGAACUACUUUUCACUGAACACCGAACUUUAGUCCAGACGUCAAAGUUCAGCUUUAGGAAACUGAUAUGAGAACAGACUGACUGCUUUAAGCUGCAACGAGCUCGUGCACGCCUUCCUCAGGUCUGAACAAGAUGCUAGCUAACAUUACCGCCGUCAUCGUUUUAUUUCUCCGGGAACAAACGCAGCUGGUCUCUGCGCAGGAUCAACCGACACGACUAAACUGAAGUCACUUCCUGUUUUUAAUCUUGACUGAUCACUGCAGGCUAGACUGAACAUGAGCACGUGAAUUGCAGAAAGGCGGAAGUUUGGAAGGACCGGUCCAAAGUUCGGGACUGCAGCUGCGCAGAAACCCGCCCUGCUUCAGCGCACGCACGGGGACGAGCCGAGCACCCAAACGCAGCACGGGUCCGAGUGCACCUUAACGCGCGACACACUGGGCGCGCGUGCACGCACGCAUACACCUUAGAACCACUGCGUCGCGCACCCGCGGUGUUCGCUAACAUGCAAACGAAACAAAGACGGACACGCGCAUCAUGCACAUGUAGGCGAGUACACGGAUGACUGCAGCAGGCUGCGCGC